GACGAACGCUGGCGGCGUGCUUAACACAUGCAAGUCGAACGGUAAGGCCCUUCGGGGUACACGAGUGGCGAACGGGUGAGUAACACGUGGGUGAUCUGCCCUGCACUUCGGGAUAAGCCUGGGAAACUGGGUCUAAUACCGGAUAGGACCACUGCCUGCAUGGGUGGUGGUAGAAAGCUUUUGCGGUGUGGGAUGGGCCCGCGGCCUAUCAGCUUGUUGGUGGGGUGAUGGCCUACCAAGGCGACGACGGGUAGCCGGCCUGAAAGGGUGACCGGCCACACUGGGACUGAGAUACGGCCCAGACUCCUACGGGAGGCAGCAGUGGGGAAUAUUGCACAAUGGGCGCAAGCCUGAUGCAGCGACGCCGCGUGAGGGAUGACGGCCUUCGGGUUGUAAACCUCUUUCAGCACCGACGAAGCGCAAGUGACGGUAGGUGCAGAAGAAGGACCGGCCAACUACGUGCCAGCAGCCGCCGUAA
rnacentral:rRNA from 1 species